rnacentral:lncRNA from 1 species
AGGGCCACACCCAUGGCAUAUGGAGGUUCCCAGGCUAAGGGUCGAACUGGAGCUGUAGCUGCCAGCCUACGCCAGAGCCACAGCAACAUGGGAUCCAAGCCACGUCUGCGACCCACACCACAGCUCACGGCAACACCAGAUCCUUAACCCACUGAGCGAGGCCAGGGAUCGAACCCGCAACCUCAUGGUUCCUUGUCAGAUCUGUGAACCACUGAGCCACGACGGGAACUCCCGACUUGUUGAAAAUAAGAACUACCUCUUAUUUCUGUUUACUCCUGAUACGCAGCAGGCACUUGUGGGUAGGUGGGUGGAUGGCUGGAUGGCUGGAGUGGACUGGAUGAAUUUUGUCAGGGGGUACCAGGAAAGACACUGAGCCACAUGAGUAAGUGGUCUUUUCCCAGUUUCUAGGACUCUUCUGACUGGUCCGUGUGUUUAUCAUGGGGACAGUCCUUCCUCUCUGGUUAAUUCCACUGAUGGUCCCUCUGCUUUUGAUUAUGAAGCAUCGGGCUGCUCCCCUCCCACCAGAUCUUCUCUCCCUCCCCUUUGGUUUCAGGAGAAGAGAUAUUAAAAUGAUUCAUUUGGGCCCACAUGUUUACUGUGUCAAGUAUAACUAAUUAAUGUUUUAACAGCAGAAUAACAAGUCCCAGAUUUCCCUCAGCAAAGCAAAACUGAAAGAAAACAGCAUACUGGGUGCACCAUAGCAUCCAAACCUACCAACUGGAAAGACACAACCACCAGGGGCUGAAUCUGACCCAGAAUUUGUGCUCUGAGAAAUUUAACCCAGUACUGCCAGGAUGGAGAGCCGCCUGGCACUCCUUCACCCCCUGGGGACAUCCCAACCUGUCUGUCCUCAGGAAUGACGAAGGGAUGGGAGUGGGGUCUCAUUUGUUGGUGUUGCCUCUGUGUCCAGCACCGUUUGACAUGUGGCAAAUAGCUGAUAAAUGUCUCGUGAAUAAACAGACUCCAGAGAGGGGAUAGGGGAUAAGGAGAUGCAUAGAAGCCUACUUAUACCAAGUGGGCUACACAGCUCAUAACUUCUGGAACCAGCUUUGGACCUUGGUCAGAAACAACCCUGCUCACUUUCUCUGUGCUAUGCUGCCUUCCAACAUUCGAGAAAAAUGUUUCAUGCCCUCUCUAUGAAACCCUGUGUUGCAAUAAAUAAUCUGAAUCACAGUUUCAAAUUUAAAAUGCCUCAAAUAAUCAACCACAUUUCAGCUACUGUGAAGAGGUUCUCAUAGCAACACUCUAAUGACCCCUGCAUGUUAAAUCGAUAUGGACGCAAGAGCUGUCAUUUACCCGUAGCAAAUUGGCACUAAAAGCAUAGGUUUCCUGGGCUGGAAAGGCGGAGAGCAAAAUGAACGCCAGAGUCUCCAAUUUGCUUGUUUUUCCAUAUGCACUCUCUCUGGCUGGAGAUAAAAGUUAAUCACUUUGAUGGCAUCAAGUACCAAUAACAACGUAUGUGCAAACAUAGCAGAGGGAGCUAUCUACCUUAUCCACUCAUUUAUUUGGCAUUAGGCACCAUGGAGACAAAGACAGUGGGUUCUUCCCUAUCCUCCUCACGAAGCACAUUGCCCAUCGGGGAUACCUACGAGCAAUCUAUCACAGCACAACACGGCACGAGCACAAGGAGACCCGAGCCCAUGAUGUCACGGGAAGUCCUCGAGCAGGUUUCUCAAGAAGGUGAGAGGUUGUGACGAUAAGAAAAAAGAAUGGACUGUUUAAAAAGCAAGUGGAACCAAGAAUUAUAUCGGUUGAGACUAUAUUGAUAACACUAGCAGUUACCUAUUUAUUGAGUUGAGCUACCAUGAACCAGGUACCCAUGACAACUCACAGAGUUAGACUCUAUUCUUAUCCUCAUCAGAGAGCGGAGGAAACGGAAGCUUAGAUUCUUUAAAUAAUCUAUCCAUCUCGUAAGCUCCUAACCACGAGGAUGGGAAGACUGUGUCUAACAAUCACUGCCCCAAAUAUGACUCGAAAAUGAGGGGCACGCCUAUUGAUUAUCUGUUGUUAGGUAACACAUUACUCUCAGAACCGAGUGGUCUAAAACAACAAAUACUUAUUAUCUUGCAUGGGUCAAGAAUGCAGGAGCCGCUUAGCUGGGUUGUGCUGGCUCAAGAGCUCUCAAGCGUUUGCAGUCAAGAGGGCACGUGGGGGUGUGUUCAUCUGAAGGCCUGACUGGAGCUGGAAGAUCUCCUUCCAGGAGGGGUCCCUCACCUGGCUGCUGGCAGGAAGCCUCCAUUUUCUUGCUAGAUGAGCCUCCCCAGAGGAUGCAACACCCUCAUGACACGGCAGGUGGCUUCACCCAGAACCAGCCGUCCAAAGGAGAGCAACAGAGAAGCCAUGAUGCCUUUUAUGACUUAGGCUCCAAAGUCUAACACCAUCACUUUCUCAACUUUCUAUUAAUUAGAAGUGAGUUGUUGGGAGUUCCUGUCAUGGCUCGGCGGUUAAUGAACCUGACUAGCAGCCAUGAGGAUGCAGGUUCGAUCCCUGGCCUCACUCAGUGGGUUAAGGAUCUGGUGUUGCCAUGAGCUGCGGUGUAGGUGGCAGACUCAACUCGGAUCCUGCAUUGCUGUGGCUGUGGUGUAGGCUGGUGGCUACAGCUCCGACUGGACCCCUAUCCUGGGAAGCUCCAUAUGCCAUGGGAGCGGCCCUAAAAAAGACAGAAAGACAACAAAAGAAGUGAGUUGUUAAGCACAGCGCAUAACCAGAGGGAAGAAAAUCCCCCCCACCUUUUAAGUGGAGGAGAAUUUGUGGAUAUAUUCUCAAAAUCACCACUCUACCUCAGACUGGAAAUUAGAAGCAAUUGUGAGGACCCCUUCUAGAGAAAACGGUUUGCAUCUCGGAAAGAAGGAGAUGGAAAAUAAACCAGACCUGAGGUGCUGGGGGAAUAAGAUGGCACUGGGGGGCCGCCAAAGGGCUAGGAGGUUGCGCCCGUCUAUGAAGUGCUGAAGCGUAAUUAUUUUAGCGGAAGGGGUUGGGGGCGCAAUAAAAUUCAGUUUCAGAGACAGAAGCAUGUGGUUAAAAAAAUAGUUCUUUGGUGUUAUCCAUUUCUUUUGGUUCUCCCUGCUGUUGAGCAAAUGGUCUCAUGAAAAUGUUCACUUACGUCUUAGAUGUGCCUCCAUAAAGGGGUCUGGGCUGGAAACAGGGGAACCAGGGUCUCGGGUGCGGAGGGGGGACAGCAAGGAUCCGAGGGAGGGAGACCAGGAGGGCAGAGGAGGAAGAGCAGGACCCCUGGGUGAGCUGCUCGCACCAGAGAUUCUCGGCAGGGCUCUCCCGGGCACGUCCCCGACUUCGGAACCUUCUGUGCUCUGUUCAAAAGGGAGAGAGGCGCCCCCUCUUCAGCGUGUGAAGACUCUCGGUAGAAGUAAACCUCCUGGCACGGAAAGCUGAAUGUUAACACAUCAAUUUACAUGACCUCAUCGAUGCAACAUACAGACCAGGAGAAGGUCUUGCAGGCAGCGCUGGCACUGAGUUAGAGAAAGUGGCGGCUGCAAAGCCGAGAGGAAGCCUGGCACUGAGGCUACGUGAACUUCCGACGUCCAGCGGGAGCGGGAUUCAAACCCUAGUGCCGCCUCUUGCCAGCCGUGACGUCACGGGAGAGCACAUCCUUCCCACACCUGCUUUCCUUAUGGUAAAGAUGGGGGUGGGGGUGUACCAGCAAUCUCCUCACAGAGCAGCGAGGGUUUAAUGAGAGCUCUAAGCGCUCCGUGAAUGUCACAGGAUUAACCAUUAUUAAUGCACGACAGCGGCUAAGAUAUGAAGUUGACCUUUAGGAGUAAAAAGGGGACCAUUUGUUCACGUUCUGCAUCUCAGCAUACGGUUUAUGAGAAAAUCUCUCAGCGCUGGGCAGAGAACAGAUGGUGAGCCAGCCCCCUCCCCCAGCCUCCCUGACCUUCCGCGGCUUUGCUCUCUGGGGUCAGGGGACAGCCCCCGCCACCCCGGCUGGCAGGGAAAAACACAAAGAGCCACUGUCCUUUGAAUGCUGGCAGCACUUCUGGACAUGGUAGGUUCUGGGAGGGAGCUGCAGCCGUGCAUCCCUGUGGCCCUCUGGUUCUUUCAUUCCCAUGUCUCUGAGAUCCUGAGUUCUGGGUACAGCAAGAGCCUCUAUUCAACAGCAGCCUUCCGCAUCCCAGGAGUGAGGUGCAGGGGCGGCCCGAGGGCCUCCUGGCAUUGCAGGGAAAGGGACCCUGGGGCAGUCCCAGGACCAAAGGUCGGUGGCCGUCUCUGCAGGGCAGGGUGGGAAACCAUCGCUCCGGGGUUUUAU